CUUAAAUCAAUAUUCAAUAGUUGAAAAUCUAAAAAAAUAAAAAGACACUAAUUGCUUAACCGAAGAAGACCGAUUUUGCUUUGAUGAAGAGAGCGUGGGCCACGUUAUUCCAAGGCGGGGAGUAAACCAGAGCAAGCGCCAACAUUCAAAGAAAAAUGACACAACUGACCCAUAUACUACUACAAAAUCAGAAACCAAAACCAGAGACAUGAACCAAAGAAAAUUAGAAAAUUAUUGGUAAGCCAGUCACGCUUCCCCAGAAGCCCCCUGUUUGUAUGGCAGAUGAGGUUCGCUAUGUCUCCGUCGCCAAUUCCCACUGGCACCUUGCUCCCUGGCGUUAUUUUCCUUCUUUUCAGGUCGCGCACAUGCUGUCAAUUUCCCAUUUCUGGUUCUCUUUUUUUUUUGAAAAAAAAAAUUGAAGAAAAACUUCAUCUUUUAUCGGCGCCUGCAAGGAAUCAUAUACUGUUGCUAUUGUCUGGAGUUGGCAAUAAUGCCAUUGGUUACGAUCUCUCACCUGGGCUUAAACAGCUUUUCGGGAUGGUGGAUUGAGUGACAGGAGUGGUAUGGACCAUCUACACAAGAGCAAUGUACCUGUGUUAGCCUUAGCUGGAGACCAAGAUCUAAUUUGCCCACCUGAAGCUGUGGAAAGUAUGUUAAACAGAGAUGACUUGUCUGUCUGUGAUGGAUAUGAAAUUAUGAAUCUUCGAUGCCUCUCAUAAUGAUUUGAAGGCUCCAGAAACAGUUGGGCUCAUUCCCAAGCAUUUGGUUACCUAUAAAGUGUUUGGAGAACCUGGAGGUCUGCAUUAUGCACGCUAUGAUUUGGUGGGAGGACAACUAGUAUGCACUUCCAAUUUAAGAUUGUCAUCCAGGAGAAUACAGUAACAUCUUGUUUGAUUGUUUAAUUUAUCUUCAUUACUUUGUAUAGUAAUUUUUUUUUCCCUAUUUUUUAUUUUCCCCCUGGCAGCAGAGCAAGUUUAUCCUUGCAUAAUCCAAUUUCUUAGUCAUCAUGACUGAGAUGAUUAUCUAGGCAUGUUGAACUUCAUUACCCACCUCAUUGCAGCAGCAAGCAUGAUUUGACCAGUACAUGAAAUGCAUGUCUUGGAUGGUAACCAUGUUCGGCUGCUCAAAUAAUUGCUGAAGUAGACAUUUGCCCUGUUGAUGAAGUGAUUCAUGGGGAAAAUUUAUUGUUGUCUAGAUCUGAAGCUAUGCACAAAAGGAAUGAAAUUUGCGUGAGCUUUAAUGGUAUUUUCCAAGGUGAUUGAAAGUUCAACAAAAGGUUAUGCUCAUGUUUCUACAUUCAUUUCAUCUGGAUCACAAUCCAAUGUGGCUAACUUUCUUGUAAAUCAAAGUCAAAUGCGGUGACAUAACGUUUUGUUCUUGAAUAGAUUAUGUCUCAUAUCCAAAUCUGGAUGCCCUUCCAGAGCUGUGCUCACUGUAUCUUAGUAUUGCAAUACAUCCUUGAACGAGUAGUUGUUGAACCAUGUUUAUGUCUCAGUAGUGGUAAUUUCCCUAGAGCAAAAUUGUUGUUUUA